GCGGAUGUGGUGGAAUUGGUAGACACGCUAUCUUGAGGGGGUAGUGGCGCAAGCUGUGUGGGUUCGAGUCCCACCAUCCGCA
rnacentral:tRNA from 1 species